CUGAGAAGUAUCGCUGACACGUGCUACGACGUCCCCAUUGGUGCUCUAGCAAUAUUAUAUGCUCCAGUACCAGCACCUGCCUCAGUAGCAGACCCUAACCCAACAGCAGCACCUAACCCAGGAGCAGCAGCAUCUGCCCCAGUAGCAGCAGCACCCACUGCUACUGGCACAUCCCAUGAUCCCGGCGGUCAUGCUUCCUUCAAUAUCCAACCCCCAGUCUUUUACCAGUACCCUAGCUUCAGUUCUUCUUUUGGUCAAAGCAUUAUCGAUUUAGUUGGAAGGAGUAGGAAGUCAGAUGCGUUGAACAUCUUGAAGGCUUUUGAUGAAAGCACUAGUGAAGCCCAGUCGUACGCAUAGAAGGCUGCCAAGUAUUCAACAAUAUCCUGUGACCUUAUGGCAAAAGCUCACCACGAGUGCUACAUUGGCAUUCAGAAGCUGAUCGUCGACGCUCUCGCUGAGAAGCGAGCUGCCAAAGAGCGCAUGAGGAAGGAUCAGGAACUACUUCAAUUGCACCGGAGGACCAAUCUGGAGGAGGUGAUAGUGAAGAAAUUAUACGGAGCCCCGUUGCAAUUGACACUAGAGCAGGAGCAGGAUCAGGAACUACUUCAAAUGCACCGGAAGACCAAUCUGGAGGAGGUGAUAGUGAAGAAAUCCAGUUGGAUCGCAGUGGCGGAGAUCUUGAUGACAGCAGAGAUUUUAUGAGAACCCCAUCGUGUGGUCAUGACAUUGAUCUACAAGAGGGAAAUUUGAAUAAAACACCUUCUGAUUUACGUGGGGCAUUCCGAAGUGUUGAUGAUAUCUUGCAAAUGAUGGAUUCCCAAGUGUUGACUGAUUCCCCACAGCACUCUGCCAGCAUUGAUGGCGAGUCCCCUCCCAAUAGCCAGCAGACUCGUGCACCAUGACUUACUGUUCGCAAGAGGAAGGCUUCCUCAAACCCCCUGGCAAUGAUCAACGGCCUGUGGGAGCACCUGAGACAGAAGAGGAGCCUCUGAGCAGGGACACUAGGAUGCAGCAUCCUACUGCCCAGGAUCAUAUAAUUUACGCAAGGAGGAGCGAUAGGGCCAUUCAAGUUGCCAACAUACAGAAGGCAGAGGCUGGGAAGAAGAAGGCUGAGAUCGAGAUGAAGAAUGCUAAGAUGGAGAAGAAGAAUGCUGAAGCUGAGGAGGCUGAGAAGAGAAAGGCUGAAGCCGAACAAGCUGAUAAGAGGAAGGCAUAAGAAGCUGAGAUUAAGAGAAAGGCUACAACUGAAGAAGCUGAGAAGAAGAAGGCUGAUGCUGAGAAGAAGAAGGCUGAUAAGAAGAAGGCAGAAGAAGCUGAGAAUAAGAGAAAGGCUGAGGCCGAAGAAGCUAAGAUCAAGAGAAAGGCUGCAGCUGAAGAAGCUGAGAAGAAGAAGGCUGAUGCCGAGAAGAAGAAGGCAGAAGAAGCUGAGAAUAAGAGAAAGGCUGAGACCGAAGAAGCUGAGAUUAAGAGAAAGGCUACAACUGAAGAAGCUGAGAAGAAUAAGGCUGAUGCCGAGAAGAAGAAGGCAGAAGAAGCUGAGAAUAAGAGAAAGGCUAAGGCCGAAGAAGCUGAGAUUAAGAGAAAGGCUGUAGCUGAAGAAGAUGUGAAGAAGAAGGCUGAUGCCGAGAAGAAGGUUGAAGCGGAGGAGAAAAUGAUACAGGUUGCAAUCCAGAAACAGCUGAAGGACAACAUCAAAGCUUUGAAAAAGCCGGUGCUCGCUGCCAAGGUAAAGAAGAUGUUCCAGUUACAAAUGUCAAAAGAAUAUGCUCAGUAGCGCCAACAGUACGAGGAUAGGUUGAACAUGCUUCGUCAGGAGGCCAAAGCUGAGAUUGACAGUUUGGAGAAGAGCAUUGAUGGCCAGGCAGGAUCCAGCUCAUCAUUUGAUGAUAUCCAGUUCCCUGCGGAGUCCGAUGAUGAUAUCAACAAUUUGACCCAAUCAAUCCGACUUUCUCAAGACGAAGUCUCAGUAGGCCAUGCUGAUUUCAGCGAGUUUCAAAGGAUGAUAUUCAAGCGCCUAGGUGAUAGAGUGCUGAAGAAGCCUAGGGAGUACAUAUCCCCGUUCAAGAUCCCUCAUAAUCGACCUGAGAUACCCCUAGCCAAGGCUGUUGCACUUAGGCGGAAGAUCGCCUCUGAUCCUGAGCUGAAAAGGAGAAUUUUGUUGGAGUUUGGCCUUCUUGUUGGACUCACUGGCGAGGAAAUUUUAACCUCUUUUUCUAAUGACACCCUUGGUGAGUCAGGAAUCAUAGACUUUUUCGUGCACUGCAUGCGACAUGAUGAUAUUGUGCACAAGUUCGAUUCUUGUGGAUACAGAGUGUUUCUGACCACUGGUUUUUAUUUCAAUGUCUCAACGUGUGAAGCAGUACUCAACGCUGAUAAAUCUGAGACACAAGACUUCAUACAUGUAUGGAAUCAUCUGAUGUCUGAGUGCGAAAACUAUGAUUUGUCAAGACCAAAUUGGUUGUUGUCCCUAUCAAAGAUGAUGCUCACUAUUUUGUAUAUUGCUUCAAUUUUAUCCAUAAGCGUAUUGAUGUGCUGGACUCGAACGACUACUUCCUGAAUUGUUCUAAUCAGGAAGAACGGCACAAGGCCGUCUUUGCCAAAAUCCCAAUCAUCGAUGCAGCCUUCCAGAAAGUUUCCAACCUCAAGUUACCCAGAGUUAGCAAGGGGAGGCAGCCUUUUAUUGAUGUGCCAAAGCAAAUAGGUCAAAGCGAUUGUAUUUUUUUGUAUGGAAGUACAUGGAAUAUUACGACGAGGACAAAAUGACCAAGGAAAUCAAUCCGUUCAAGGACCCGAUAUACAGAUGUGAGUUGUUGCAUUACCAGAUCUUCCACCCUAUGAACCAAGCUGAAAUUCCUGGAUCGCUGGAUAAGUUUAGAAUUGGUGGUCAUCCAGUGCCAAUUGAAUGGGAUAGUAGUCAGUCGAACAAUUAGAUUCAUGCAAAAACAAUCAGUUGUGUUAUGCAGUAGCCAGAAACUUUUAAUGUUGUGUUUUGGUUCUGUAUACCAGUAUUGUUGGAAGCACACUCCAGUAAUGUUGUUUAGGUUGCAACCAGCGCACUGGUUCCAUUUGCAACUGGUCUAUUCAUCUAGUUGUUAUCGUA